UAAGGAAUAUUGGACAAUGGGCGCAAGCCUGAUCCAGCCAUGCCGCGUGAAGGAUUAAGGUCCUCUGGAUUGUAAACUUCUUUUAUAAGGGACGAAAAAAGGGAAUUCUAUCUCACUUGACGGUACCUUAUGAAUAAGCACCGGCUAACUCCGUGCCAGCAGCCGCGGUAAUACGGAGGGUGCAAGCGUUAUCCGGAUUCACUGGGUUUAAAGGGUGCGUAGGCGGGUAUUUAAGUCAGUGGUGAAAUCCUAGAGCUUAACUCUAGAACUGCCAUUGAUACUAUUUAUCUUGAAUAUUGUGGAGGUAAGCGGAAUAUGUCAUGUAGCGGUGAAAUGCUUAGAUAUGACAUAGAACACCUAUUGCGAAGGCAGCUUACUACGCAUAUAUUGACGCUGAGGCACGAAAGCGUGGGGAUCAAACAGG
rnacentral:rRNA from 1 species